CCUACGGGAGGCAGCAGUGAGGAAUAUUGGUCAAUGGCCGGAAGGCUGAACCAGCCAUGCCGCGUGAAGGUCAGUGCCCUAUGGGCGUUAAACUUCUUUUGUGCGGGAGCAAUCAUGGUCACGUGUGGCCAGACGAGAGUACCGUACGAAUAAGCAUCGGCUAACACCGUGCCAGCAGCCGCGGUAAUACGGGGGAUGCAAGCGUUAUCCGGAUUUAUUGGGUGUAAAGGGUGCGUAGGCUGUGAGGUAAGUCAGCGGUGAAAUGCCCCCGCUCAACGGGGUGAAGUGCCAUUGAUACUGCCUGGCUGGAAUGCGGAUGCCGUGGGAGGAAUGUGUGGUGUAGCGGUGAAAUGCAUAGAUAUCACACAGAACACCGAUUGCGAAGGCAUCUCACGAAUCCGCGAUUGACGCUGAUGCACGAAAGCGUGGGUAUCAAACAGGAUUAGAUACCCCUGUAGUC
rnacentral:rRNA from 1 species